CAUGCAAGUCGGACGGGGUCGCGCAAGCGGUACCCGUGGCGUAAGGGUGAGUAAGGCGACGGCAACCGACCCCGGGGCCGGGUAUAGCCGCGGGAAACCGCGGGUAAUCCCCGGCGACGCCGCGGCCCGGCAUCGGGUCGCGGCCAAAGGUGCGAGUCCGCCCCGGGACGGGCCGUCGUGGUAUCAGGUCGUUGGUGGGGUGACGGCCCACCAAGCCGAGGACGCCUACCGGGCGUGCGAGCGUGGCCCGGCACACUGGGACUGAGACACUGCCCAGACUCCUACGGGAGGCUGCAGUCGAGAAUCUUCGGCAAUGGGCGCAAGCCCGACCGAGCGACGCCGCGUGGAGGACGAAGGCCUUCGGGUUGUAAACUCCUGUCGGGGGGGAACAAGGGGGGCGUGAAGAACGCCCCUUGAGUGAUCCCCGGAGGAAGCACGGGCUAAGUUCGUGCCAGCAGCCGCGGUAAGACGAACCGUGCGAACGUUAUUCGGAAUCACUGGGCUUAAA
rnacentral:rRNA from 1 species